CUUUCUACGUUUUUAUUAAGAUCACUAUACAUAUUCUUUCACGCAUAAGUUAUGGGUAACAAUAUAUAUUUUCCAUCCAUAUAAGAGAUAAAAUACUUCAUGUGUCUAUGGUGGGAAUUUUGUAUAUAAAUUUCAUUCCUAACACCCGUGACCCACGAUAGUUUUUAUAUGGGAGGUAAUGAGUUAAUGAUUUUAAUCAGGUGUGGAAUGUCUAGAUAUGUAGAGUUAAGGGAGGAGGGGCCCCGUGCUUCUGAGGAAGUGGCGUGAGGCCACGAAACGCGUUAAGCGUGGGGCUAUGUUUUCUGGUUUGCUCUUCAUGAUUUUAUGAUUUCUCAAUAAACUUGGACUUUUUAUAUGACCCGAAAUGCUGCCUGGUGCUCCAUGAUUUUGGUGCUCAAUGAUCAACUUGAGCAUGGUUCCAAUCAACCUGAGAGAAAUGACUGUAACAUGGUGAAAUUUGUUGCAUCACUAAGGAGACACGAACCGCCAUCGGUUCAGAUUCCUAAAUGAGGAUACACAAUCCCAAAACCCUUCAACCCGUCACAGGGAAAAAAACGAAAGCGUGAGGAGGCUUUGGAAUCCAGUGCUGAAAAGGUUAUAUCUUUCUCCAAAAGAACUCCCGCACCUUAUUGCCUGCAUGGCCACCAGAGGGAGCUCGAGGAAGAGGAGGUGCCUGUUAUCAAAGCCACUCGUACGCCACACUACAGGGUCCUAUUUAAACCCAAACUUUUAGAAAAGAGACAAGUGGAUGUUUGUCCCUUUUCCUUCUUUGAGCAGGACAAGGAGCGGCAGCUGCAGAAAGAGAAGCGAUUGGAUGAACUUCGCAAAGUGGAAGUGAGUAUGGCAAAAUAGGGGUGGGAUAUUCUCACCACAGGGCAGAAAUAGGAACAUAUGUACAGCUGAGUGGUGUGGGUGAUGGGCACAGGGUAGAUACAGGCAUCCAUAUUACAGUGCAGUGUGGGUAUCAUACUUGCAAAGCUCAACUCUGGAUCUUUUCCUUGAGGUCUAUAAAUUCAAGGCUCAGCCUCUGCCACCAUUCUAUCACAUCACCCCCUUUAAGAAGAAGGUGAGGUUGCCAAGCCAGAAGGAGCGAUUUGAGCUGGAGACAUACAAUGUGGAGUCAAGUCCUACUUAACCAUCCCAACAUCCCCAAGCUUCUCAGGCAGGUUUAAGUGCUGAUGCAGCUGAUGUUCCUGUGUUACCGCCAAAUCGAAAUUUUCUGGUAGUUGAUGCCCUUUUCAAGCCCUGGACUAUACACAUCCUAAUGAACAAACAUAUGUCCGGUAAAUAGUAGCGUGAAUACAGAGGCAUGUUUUUGCCCUGGGGGGGUGUUAUGUAAAUACUUAAUGGUAGGGAUGCAACAAAUCCACUAUUUGGGAUUCUGCCCAAUGCCUGGUGAAAGAUUUGACCAAAUACCGAACCAAAUCCUAAUUUGCAUAUGCAAAUUAGAAUCAGGGAAGGAAAAAGAGGAAAACAGAUCAUCUUCUGUGACGAUUUCCCUACCCGUCCUAAAUUUAUAUAUGCAAAUUAGGAUUUGGGUUCGGCCAGGCACAAGGAUUCGGCCGAGUCCUGCUGAAAAUCCUGGUCAAAUCCCGAACCGAAUCCUGGAUUCGCUGCAUCCCUAAUUAAUGGCCUAUUAUGCCUUGUAAAAACGGUAAAUAAGAUAAAUAUACCUUGUAAUAAAAUUUAAGUGAACUA